GGUAAACAGACAGGGAUACAAGGAGACAGACAGACAGACAGACUGAUAACCAGACAGGCAGACAGGUAAACAGACAGGGAUACAAGGAGACAGACAGACAGGUAACCAGACAGACUGAUAACCAGACAGGCAGACAGGUAAACAGACAGGGAUACAAGGAGACAGGCAGACAGGUAAACAGACAGGCAGACAGGUAAACAGACAGGGAUACAAGGAGACAGACAGACAGGUAACCAGACAGACUGAUAACCAGACAGGCAGACAGGUAAACAGACAGGGAUACAAGGAGACAGGCAGACAGGUAAACAGACAGGCAGACAGGUAAACAGACAGGGAUACAAGGAGACAGACAGACAGGUAACCAGACAGACUGAUAACCAGACAGGCAGACAGGUAAACAGACAGGGAUACAAGGAGACAGGCAGACAGGUAAACAGACAGGCAGACAGG